AGGGGGGGGGGCAAGCGUUGUUCGGAAUUACUGGGCGUAAAGGCGCGUAGGGCGGCCCAGAAAGUCUCUUGUGAAAUCCCACGGCUCAACUGUGGAACUGCAGGGGAAACUACUGGGCUUGAGUCCGGGAGAGGGUAGCGGAAUUCCCAGUGUAGCGGUGAAAUGCGUAGAUAUUGGGAGGAACACCGGUGGCGAAGGCGGCUACCUGGACCGGUACUGACGCUGAGGCGCGAAAGCUAGGGGAGCAAACGGGAUUAGAUACCCCGGUAGUCCUAGCUGUAAACGUUGAGCACUUGGUGUAGCGGGUAUCGACCCCUGCUGUGCCGUAGCUAACGCAUUAAGUGCUCCGCCUGGGGAGUACGGUCGCAAAGGCUG
rnacentral:rRNA from 1 species